ensembl:lncRNA
AUUUUGAGCAUAUUUAUUCCCUUCCUCAUUUUCUUGUGCAGUUCUUCCAAGUUUCAGGGUAUUGCAUAAUUAUUUUGGUCCUUUGAGAAGGACAGGUUGGCUGCUAUUUGAGAUAUAAUACAAACUAAGUAUCCUCAAAGCAUCAUAGGCCCAGAGUGUUUUUAAUGCCUAUCUGGAGGAACUAACUGGGAGGUUGAAGCAGGGGAUUUGCAGACCCACCGUUGCCUGUCCAUCAUGGGGAAGAAGCUAAGAGUCUGUGACAAAUGUGGAGAAUGUGACAGGAUAAUGAAAUUGUGUAAUUAGCCCUGAAGACUGCAAUCACCUCCAACUCCAGUUUAUAAAUCACCUACACCCCACUGUCUCAUGCUGAGGGAGAAAGGAGUUUGUGAGUUGACCUUAUGUUCUGCAGCUGCUCAGCCUCAUUGAUCUCUCUGAAGGCUGCUGGGGUCUUGCUGGAAAAAUCCAGCUACUGUAGACAUAGGCAAAGAGGAUGAAGCACAGCUGUAAAGACCUCACAGCCCCCAUUCAGUAUGAAUGAGUGUUGUUUGAGGAUGACUGCAGACUUUCCCACAAACCUUCAUUAAAGGAGUAAUUUGCAGGAGAGUAUCUAAUCAGAAGAUCUCAGGAAGAAGCUGGGUGUGUCUAUUCAUUCAUAACAGGGGCAACCACAAUAAUGAAAUAAUGAAACACGACAUGCAGUAUGCCACAAUGCGUGAUCACAGGUGCUCUGCUAGACAAGAGUACAGAGGGUGUGUUGCAGCCACCCAGCACUCUGCUGUGCCAAGCUGUCUCUUUGUUGCAUGUCACUCCAAGGAGAGCAAUCUGGAGAAAUAACCUGGUGUUUCCACAUCGGUAUGCUCAUAGGUCCUGUGGGUGUGUUUCCACCUGAAGAUCCUGACACUGCUUCAAGUAACAAAGUUCUGAUCCGUAUUAGCAGCAGCAGCAUGAUGUGGGCCCUGUACUGUGCACAUCCCUCCCCUGUUCUGCACUGAGGCACCAGAGCUGGGAGCGGAGCCUUGCACUUGCUUUGCUGCUGAUUGCACCUGUUAGCAAACUGGUGCAGGAGAAACCCGUUAUGAGCCCUUUUAUAACAAGGCUGCUUUCCUGUCUUCUGAAUCGUUAAUACUUCAGUGAAGAUCACUUGUAAUAUUUCUCACUUCUGAAACAUGUUCUGUCUGGGGAAUCUUGGAACAUUUUACAAACAUUAAUUAAUUAGACUUGCAGCUCCAGUACUUACUAGCUAAUCGUUCACAUUGUUUUCAUUGUUUAUGACUGCUCUAGAUGCUCCAUCUCCCACAUCCAAGAACAACCUAUGGCAGGACACAUGCAGGUAUUGGAUGCGCUAUUGAAAUGCCCAUGCUGCCUAAACCCCAUGUCUGCACUGUGCCAACAGAUUAUGCACUUUAAAUACAUAGGCUAGAUCUAGAACCAAGACAUUUGGGUAAUCAGGGUAAUAUUUGUUUUGUAACAGCUUAAAAAACAAGAACUGAAUGAAUUGGUGGUUAAAUUCAAAUGAUGCUUGUGUUGGAUAGAAGGAGUCUUUGAUAUUUGGAAUUUACAAACUUUUUUUUUUUCCCCAUGAACUUGUGUUGCUUAAAUUCAAACUAUUUUUUUGUUUCGGUUGACU